UGAGGAAUAUUGGGCAAUGCCCGCAAGGGUGACCCAGCAACGCCGCGUGGAGGAUGAAUGUCGUAAGAUUGUAAACUCCUGUUAGAGGGGAAGAAUAGUACCGGUUGGACCGGUAUAUGACUGUACCCUCAGAGAAAGCCCCGGCUAACUACGUGCCAGCAGCCGCGGUAAUACGUAGGGGGCAAGCGUUGUCCGGAUUUACUGGGUGUAAAGGGCGCGCAGGCGGGAUAAAAAGUCAGUGGUGAAAUCCUACAGCUUAACUGUAGAACUGCCUUUGAUACUUUUAUUCUUGGGUUCGGGAGAGAGAGACGGAAUUCCAGGUGUAGUGGUGAAAUACGUAGAUAUCUGGAAGAACACCAGUUGCGAAGGCGGUCUCUUGGUCCGACACUGACGCUGAGGCGCGAAAGCGUGGGGAGCAAACA
rnacentral:rRNA from 1 species